rnacentral:rRNA from 1 species
AUACGUAGGUGGCAAGCGUUGUCCGGAAUUACUGGGCGUAAAGGAUGCGUAGGCGGAUAUGUAAGUCAGAUGUGAAAUACCCGGGCUCAACUUGGGUGCUGCAUUUGAAACUGCAUGUCUAGAGUGCGGGAGAGGAAAGUGGAAUUCCUAGUGUAGCGGUGAAAUGCGUAGAGAUUAGGAGGAACACCAGUGGCGAAGGCGACUACCUGGACCGAUACUGACACUGAGGAGCGAAAGCGUGGGGAGC